rnacentral:rRNA from 1 species
GACGAACGCUGGCGGCGUGCUUAACACAUGCAAGUCGAACGAUGAAACCUAGCUUGCUAGGUCGAUUAGUGGCGAACGGGUGAGUAACACGUGACUAACCUGCCCCUUUCUCUGGGAUAACGCUCCGAAAGGAGUGCUAAUACCGGAUACUCACAUCGAGGCACAUGCCUUGGUGUGGAAAGUUUUUCGGAAAGGGAUGGAGUCGCGGCCUAUCAGCUUGUUGGUGAGGUAACGGCUCACCAAGGCGACGACGGGUAGCCGGCCUGAGAGGCGGCCAGCCACACUGGGACUGGGACACGGCGCAGACUCCUACGGGAGGCAGCAGUGGGGAAUAUUGCACAAUGGGCGCAAGCCUGAUGCAGCGGCGCCGCGUGAGGGAUGAAGGUCUUCGGAUUGUAAACCUCUUUCAGUAGGGACGAAGCGAAAGUGACGGUACCUAAAGAAGAAGCACCGGCUAACUACGUGCCAGCCGCCGCAGUAA